UGACGCAGGAGGAGGUCGCAGCGCGGCGCAGACGCUUCCGGUGGGAUCAGGGGAGCCUGUGUUACAGGUCUUAUGGUGGGUGGAGCUGAAGAGGCCAAUCAGCGCGAUCGCGGACACCUGGCCGGGGCCGAGGUGCUAUUAAGCCCAGCUGCCCGGAGUCACAUGGCGGCCCUGACUCUCUCCAAGCCAGCCGCAGGAGGAGUAACACGGCGAUCCUCUCCCCUCGUUCAUCCAUCUUGUGCAUUAUACUGAACAACCGCAAUAAAUGUGCCGUGGCUUUUGGAAACACGUGUACGUCAUAACACUACUAAAUACUGGUAAUAUUUACAUUAAUUAUGUGACCGUCUGUUUCCUGUAGUUAUUGCAUUGCUCUUUUUACUGCACUGUUAGUGUACAGUUUUAUUAUUGUGCUGCUGUGUUUAUUGUAUUUUUUUAACUGGCACAACAAUUUCCUUCGGGAUGAAUAAAGUCCAAGCUUAUCUCUAUUAUCUUAUCACUAAACCCAUAUCAUAGUUUCAAUUUUGGAACAUGCUAUUGCUUGUAUGGAGGAGUGCAUACAACUUUGGUUUCAAUUAUAUAAGAGCUAAUGGUCGAGUAGUUGCAGAAUGUAGUUGCAAAUCAGCUUUUGGGUCAUACUGGCUGUAGGAGAAAUUAUAAAAAUGUCCUAAGUUAAGGAACUAUCGCCCAUUUCCAAACCGACCUCCACUCCGUUUUGCAAACGUGUAGGGUCGGCCAAAAAUGUGCUGUUCCAAACCAAGCGAGAAGUUGGUCACCAAGCCCACCAACUGUGAGUGUACGGUUGCGGGAGAACUACUACCCCCUUAAGGGAAAAACAUCAUGGGGUUAAGUAAAGAUGAUAGAAUUCAUCUGCCCACCGGAUAUGACCUAUUUUACUUCCAACUCACUUGUAUUUUUAGAAAUACCUUACUCAAGAAGAAUCCUGUGUUAAUAAAAAUCACAAAAUAUUCAACACUA